GAUGAACGCUAGCGAUAGGCUUAACACAUGCAAGUCGAGGGGCAGCAUUAUUUUAGCUUGCUAAGAUAGAUGGCGACCGGCGCACGGGUGCGUAACGCGUAUGCAACCUGCCUGUAAUUAGGGAAUAACCCGGUGAAAGUCGGACUAAUACCCUAUAUUCUUCUUUCUCCGCAUGGAGGAGGACGGAAAGAUUUAUUGAUUACAGAUGGGCAUGCGUCCCAUUAGCUAGUUGGUAAGGUAACGGCUUACCAAGGCAACGAUGGGUAGGGGGACUGAGAGGUUGACCCCCCACACUGGUACUGAGACACGGACCAGACUCCUACGGGAGGCAGCAGUGAGGAAUAUUGGUCAAUGGGCGAGAGCCUGAACCAGCCAAGUCGCGUGAAGGACGACGGUUCUAUGGAUUGUAAACUUCUUUUGUAGAGGAAUAACGGCAG
rnacentral:rRNA from 1 species